rnacentral:rRNA from 1 species
AUGGCUGUCGUCAGCUCGUGUCGUGAGAUGUUGGGUUAAGUCCCGCAGCGAGCGCAACCCUCGCCCUUAGUUGCCAGCAUUAGUUGGGCACUCUAAGGGGACUGCCGGUGAUAAGCCGAGAGGAAGGUGGGGAUGACGUCAAGUCCUCAUGGCCCUUACGGGCUGGGCUACACACGUGCUACAAUGGUGGUGACAGUGGGCAGCGAGCACGCGAGUGUGAGCUAAUCUCCAAAAGCCAUCUCAGUUCGGAUUGCACUCUGCAACUCGAGUGCAUGAAGUUGGAAUCGCUAGUAAUCGCGGAUCAGCAUGCCGCGGCGAAUACGUUCCCGGGCCUU